GAUGAACGCUGGCGGCGUGCCUAAUACAUGCAAGUCGAGCGAACAGACGCGGAGCUUGCUCCUCUGACGUUAGCGGCGGACGGGUGAGUAACACGUGGAUAACCUACCUAUAAGACUGGGAUAACUUCGGGAAACCGGAGCUAAUACCGGAUAAUAUAUUGAACCGCAUGGUUCAAUAGUGAAAGACGGUUUUGCUGUCACUUAUAGAUGUAUCCGCGCCGCAUUAGCUAGUUGGUAAGGUAACGGGUUACCAAGGCAACGAUGCGUAGCCGACCUGAGAGGGUGAUCGGCCAGACUGGAACUGAGACAACGUCCAGACUCCUACGGGAGGCAGCAGUAGGGAAUCUUCCGCAAUGGGCGAAAGCUUGACGGAGCAACGCCGCGGGAGUGAUGAAGGUCUUCGGAUCGUAAAACUCUGUUAUUAGGGAAGACCAAAUGUGUAAGUAACUAUGCACGUCUUGACGGUACCUAAUCAGAAAGCCACGGCUAACUACGUG
rnacentral:rRNA from 1 species